AUGGCCAGCAGCAAGACAUUGCUCCUCGUCCUGUGCGCGGCGGCUGCGGCUGCGAUGCUGAGCCCGGCUUCCGCGGCGGACGACCUGACCAAGUUCAAGGUGUACUUCCACGACGUGCUAGCGGGGAAGAGCCCGACGGCGAUCCGGAUUGCUCAGGCCGCGUCCACCAACAGCUCCUCCACCUUCUUCGGCGCGGUGGUGGCCAUCGACGACCCGCUCACCACUACCCCCGCCGUCACGGGCUCCGCCAAAUCCAAGGACGAGGUGGGCCGCGCGCAGGGGAGUUACACGUUCGCCGACCAGGCCACCUUCGGGCUCCUCAUGAACAUGAACUUCGUGUUCACCGCCGGGGACUACAAGGGCAGCAGCCUGACCAUCUACGGCCGCAACGAGGUGCUUUCGGCGGUGAGGGAGAUGAGCAUCAUCGGGGGCACGGGCAAGUUCCGCAUGGCUCGCGGCUACGUCCAGGCGAGCACCGUGGACUCCGGUGCCAAGUCCGGCGAGACCGUCGUCGAGUACACUGUCUACGUCAAGGCUGCGGCGGCGUAG
rnacentral:rRNA from 1 species